rnacentral:lncRNA from 1 species
AUGAGAACUCUUGGGUGGAAUAAGUCACCAGUUAAAAUGAACUCGUUGCAAGCUUCACAUUAUCUCACUCUCCAGUCUUGCUUGAGUGAAUUCUUAUCUUCAGAUCAAGGUUGUUUUUCACUAGAAAUGAAUCAAAUUCAGGCACAGGACCAGCUAUCUGUCAGGAGGAGCAGGACCUAG